rnacentral:rRNA from 1 species
GAUGAACGCUGGCGGCGUGCCUAAUACAUGCAAGUCGAACGCUGAAGGAGGAGCUUGCUCUUCUGGAUGAGUUGCGAACGGGUGAGUAACGCGUAGGUAACCUGCCUGGUAGCGGGGGAUAACUAUUGGAAACGAUAGCUAAUACCGCAUGACAACAGUUAUUGCAUGAUAACUGUUUAAAAGGGGCAACUGCUCCACUACCAGAUGGACCUGCGUUGUAUUAGCUAGUUGGUGAGGUAACGGCUCACCAAGGCGACGAUACAUAGCCGACCUGAGAGGGGGAGCGGCCACACUGGGACUGAGACACGGCCCAGACUCCUACGGGAGGCAGCAGUAGGGAAUCUUCGGCAAUGGACGGAAGUCUGACCGAGCAACGCCGCGUGAGUGAAGAAGGUUUUCGGAUCGUAAAGCUCGGUUGUAAGAGAAGAACGAGUGUGAGAGUGGAAAGUUCACACUGUGACGGUAGCUGACCAGAAAGGGACGGCUAACUACGUG